AUGGAUGCAUUGGAUCGUUAGAUCCGGAUCCAAUACCUUCUUAUUAAAAUUGUAUGGAGGCGAAAUGUUCGAAUCUUUAUUCUUUUGGAAAGAAGAAAGAAUCACAAAGUUGUUGAGGUUAAUUCACUUAGAUGUUAGUGGCACUUGUUCACAACAUAAUACUGAUCAUGUUGGAUGACAUUCACCAAAGAUCACUCUCGGUUGGACUAUAGUUUAUUUUGAAUAAACACAAGUCCGAAUACUUUGCAAAAUGUUUCAAAGAAUUCAAGUAAUGUAAGUUGAUGAGUAAGACGUCUAAAGUAAUUACCUCCUUAGAUUUGAUCCAAGAUAAGGUAACACUUAGAACAGUUUCCUUGAAAGAUAUCAAAGAAAUAAGCAUAAUAAGAUAAUAGAUUUCUCCAUAAGGAGAAGAACGAACUUAAAUAAGAUUCAGUUCGUUGGAUAUUAUCAAUUACCCAUAUAUAGGAUAUAUACUUCUAAGACAAUAUGAUUGUCAAUUAGAAGAUCUUCCAAAAUUUUCAUGACUCCAUAAGAUGUAGUUGGAAAAAAAGACAAAUCUUAAAACAUGUUAAGAUUUGGGGUUGUGUGCUAAUAAGCAAUAUUUGUUUGAUAACAAUCUUGUGGGAUAUCCUUAAAUUAACUUUUGGAUAUCACUUCUAUAAACCAACUAACAAAUGUUGUUUUGUUGGGUAGUUCAUUGUAAUCCUACAAUGUGAUUUGCCUAAAAGCAAAUAAACGAGAGAUAGAACUCAAAGAAUGGGUUCUUUGAGAGAGACAAGAAAGUAAUUAACAAAUAUAAACAACCUAGUUCCUAUAUCAAAAGCUCCAAGGUAGUCGAUAAGGAUUUAUAAACCGUCUCAGUUGAAUGGUUUGAACUUUAUGACUAUGUCAUAGAGUUGCAUCUCUUAAUUCGAAAGAAAUAAGAAUGAAAAUCCUUAUGACUACAUUGAGUGUAUAUAUGAUAUAUACUCAAGGAAAUGGUAAAAUACCAUUUAACCCGAAAUAAUGAAACCUUCAUAAGCUAAUUGGUAGCUUAAGGUGACUACAAUAAAAGAGAAUGGUUGACUUUGAAGGAACCAUUUUUGACGUAGUCUUAGUUUCAAUUAAUUCGAAGAUUGCUAGCUACAACUAAAUGGUGAUUCAAUGUUUGGACAUAAUAUAGGUUUCCGAAACCAUUAUUAAGAUAGUCUUGAUAAUAUAUGUCUAAAACUAUAAAUCACAAGACAUGUAAGUUGUAGAGAUCCAUCCAUCAUGGAUCUUAGCAAGCUAGUGGGAGCUAUAAGCGUCUUAUGAGAAAAAAGGUCAAAUCGUUUGCUUUCUCAUAAAGAUGUAAAUGAAUCUUUUGUUUACUAGGUUUACAAAAGAUUAGUGGGAGUUAAUCAUAUUCCUAAAUUUGUAUAUAUAUAUAUAUAUAUAUAUAUUAUAUAUAUAUAUAUAUAAAUAUAUAUAUGUGAUAUAUAUGAAUGUAUAUAUGAUAUAUUAAUUUUGGAAUUGAAAAGAAUAUUUCUUCGUUAAAGUUAUGACUUUAAGCAUUCUAUAACGAUAGAAUGUAUAUGGGAGACAUGGUCUAUAUACAUGGGAUGGAAAUCUAUAUUGAUAGAUUUCAAGAUAUAAUUUGAUUAUAUCAAUCCCUAAUAAUAGACAAAAGAUGAUAGGAAGUUUCUCAUAUGAUGAUGAACUUCAAUCAAAUGGACAACUCUAGUAAGACUAAGGAGUUGCUCUUCUCAAAGAGAACAUACUCUUUGACUCCCAAAUAAAUAAUGCGUAAAUAGAAUCCUUUAUGCAUACGUACAAAGGUGAUUUAUGUAUUUCAUAUUGUAUGAAAAAUAUUGAUAUGAGUUGUACCUAGAACGGUACAAGACGAUAUCAGUGCAAGCCCAGGAUCAAAACCAUGGCAACUGUCAAGUGAAUCCUUAAGUAUUUGAGAAAUACUAAAGGAUAGAUUCCUCAAAGAACGAGGAAGAAUUAGAGUAACGUAAAGGAAGCGUAAAUGUAUUAGAUUAUGAAUCUAAUCCAUCAUUGGAUGUUUCUUCAUUAUGAAUGAAGAGAUAAACGGAUAUCUCUUUAUUAUGACUAAAGAGAUAUUUGGAUGGAAACAUUAAAGUAAUGACUUUAGUGUGUUCCAUUAUGAAUGCAAAAUAUAUUGCUAUAAAGAAGCUUACAACAAUGUUGUUUGGAUGGGAAAGUUCAUUUAUGAACUCUCUAUUCGGUUCCAACCAGAAAGUGUAUGACACUAAUGGGGCGAUAGCUCAAGCCAGGGAAUCAAGGUCUCAUCAAGGUCCGAACUCAUAUGAGAGACUGAACCACAUGAUUGAGAAUCAUGUAUAAUGGUGACGUCGUUAUUCUCAAGGUUGCUUCUAUGGAUAACAUAUAGAUAUCCAUUGUCUAGGCCUACUACUCAGCCAUUUAUGAAAUGACUACAGAAGAGGUAUAAUCACUGAUGAACAAGCUGAUUGGCUCUAGUGCAAGUGGGAGAUUGUUGGAAAUGUGCUCUAAAGCCAAUCAUAUGAUGAUACUUUACGAACAUUUCACAUGUUAAACUAAUCUAGUUUAAUAUAAAGGGCAAAGAUUAUUGUUUGAGCCGUCUCAUAUAAAUGUUAUAUGCUUAAACGAUAAAGUCCAAGGAAUAUGUGAUUGGGAGAAUGCAAUCUAAUGAAGUUAGAUUCAUGAGACCAUUCUUUCGUAGACACAUCCUAAAUGUUCCUGAUCAUAGGAUUGUCAAUUGGGCAUUGACAGUCCGUCAAGAUCGGUACGUGCUAUGUCUUCUCUCAAGGAGAGUGACUAGUCUCGAGUCAUUGGUGUGUGUGACAUCAAGACAAGUACGUAGGUGCUCAGUAGAGAAUGAGUUCACUGAACGCGAUCAACGAAGAGUUCUCAUAUUCAUGUCUCUAUAGUAGUCUAAUUGAUCAAUGAUUGGAUUAUAGUAAUCUAAUUGAUUGUCUCUAUAGUAGAGAUAAUAUGGUGGUAUUAACUGUUUAGAAUAAAAUGAUGCUUAAAACCCAAAAAGGUUGCAAGGUAGUGACUAAUCCCAACUAAAGUUGUGAUACCUCUAAAACAUAAAUUACGAGUUGGUCAAAGAUGGAUGCAUUGGAUCGUUAGAUCCGGAUCCAAUACCUUCUUAUUAAAAUUGUAUGGAGGCGAAAUGUUCGAAUCUUUAUUCUUUUGGAAAGAAGAAAGAAUCACAAAGUUGUUGACGUUAAUUCACUUAGAUGUUAGUGGCACUUGUUCACAACAUAAUACUGCUCAUGUUGGAUGACAUUCACCGAAGAUCACUCUUGGUUGGACUAUAGUUUAUUUUGAAUAAACACAAGUCCGAAUACUUUGCAAAAUGUUUCAAAGAAUUCAAGUAAUGUAAGUUGAUGAGUAAGACGUCUAAAGUAAUUACCUCCUUAGAUUUGAUCCAAGAUAAGGUAACACUUUAGAACAGUUUCCUUGAAAGAUAUCAAGGAAAUAAGCAUCAUAAGAUAAUAGAUUUCUCCAUAAGGAGAAGAACGAACUUAAAUAAGAUUCAGUUCGUUGGAUAUUAUCAAUUACCCAUAUAUAGGAUAUAUACUUCUAAGACAAUAUGAUUGUCAAUUAGAA
rnacentral:lncRNA from 1 species